AACUCUUCCAACCUUUUGUAUUCACCCUUAAAAAAACCCUAAAUCCUUUGCAAUCCAGAGAACAUUGCCCCUUUUUAUUUCACAAACCCUAACCUAACACCCACCGCACUCCCCCCUUUCCCCUCACAAGAGCGCUGCAGCCCCACUCCCCAUUUUCCCCUCUCCAGUGCACACAACACAAUACACAUACGCAUCACCUCACCCAUGCGGAAGAGGAGAGCUCGAAAAAGGAGACGCCGCCUUGCUGCCAGCUCCGUCGAAGACCAGUCUGCCGCCGCUGUCGAGUCAAACCCGAGAGAGAGUGUAUGCGACGAUGAGAGAGGAGGAGUCGUCACCAAACGCGUCGUCGCCGCUGGAAGAGCUUCGCUCUUCGCCGUUACCGAGGAGGGGAAAGAGGAGCUGCUCCCGUCGCACCAGUCACCGUCCUGCUUCCUGGUUGCCGAUGAGGGAGCCGCGAGAACCGUUGCCGUCGAGAAAGAGGGGGACGUGCGAGAGGGAGCCGUCAGUUUGGUCGUCGUCGCAGCUGUUGAGUAAAUCUUCCUUGCCGUUGGGAAUUAGCUUCAGCCUUGAAAGAAGCCAAAGCUAGGUUUGAUUCAGCUGGUGUUAAACUAAUUGCAGUUGGUGUUGGUGGCCCCAGUAAAGCCCGCAUGCUUGCUGAGCGACCUGCUGCAGAAUAUUUAAAUAGGAAAAUUUUGGAGGGAAAGACAAUUGCGGAGAAAUUAGAUAGCUUGAUUGAGCUGACUUUUUUGCAUCUUGAGUCCUGUCAAAGCAGUGGCCAGUUGUCUGAGGUAUUUUUCAGACAUUACAUAUAUUUGCUUUGAUUACUUUGUACUAUAUACUUUAACUUGUAUGUUUAUUAAAUUCUUAAUUAGGUAUUUGAUGUUCUAGUGAGAUCAUUUCAAAGGACUAUUUUAUUUCAGUUUGUGGUGUUCUAUGCAUGUGCACUUGAUCCUGAAGAUUGUGGGGAGAAGUUCGCCAUGGUUCUUGUUCAUUUUUUUCUGUUUCCUUUUUUCCAUUCUUGUGCCAUAUCCUGUUUUUGGUUUCUGUGGAGUACUCAGAAUGUGCAGAUAUUGCUGGGACGACUCCUGAUGGAUGUACUGAAAUACCAACUUGUCCAGUUUGCCUCGGUAGGCUGCAUUUGCUUUUGCUGUGGCUUUGUGUGUGUUGCUUCGUUGAUUAUGUUUUUAGAGGAUGGAAAUAAUCUUGUGAAAUGAUGUUUUAUAUGAUUUAUGUGUCUGGUUUGCUCUUUGAAUGAUUGAGAGAUUGGACCCGGAUAGAAGUGGAAUACUCACUACACUUUGCGAUCACUCCUUUCAAUGCCCUUAUGUUUCAAAGUGGACAUACUUGUCUUGCCAGGAAGGAAGCAGCUUGCCAUAUGUCUUCUACAUCUCGGCAUUAUUAUGAAUCUUUGUUGGCAGAGGCACAAAGCAAAGUGGACAGGUCUGUCUCUGAAGUAGUGGAGAAAGCUGUAACUUCUGGAUUGCAGGACAUCAAAGAUAAACUAGAAAAUUGUACAUAAGAGAGAAAUGGUGUUGCUGAGGUGAGGAAGGAAGUUUGAGGGUUAAAGGAAGGAGGAACAGCAAGGUUUAAGUUGUAUUGUUCCUGUACUUUUCUUUAGUUUUUAGUUUUGGAAUUUGAACUCGAGAUUUAUUUUGUAUUUGAACAUUAGUUUUUAAUGUAUAAAACAAUUAUAGCAAAAAUUAUGUCA